rnacentral:rRNA from 1 species
CCUACGGGAGGCAGCAGUAGGGAAUCUUCCACAAUGGACGAAAGUCUGAUGCAGCAACGCCGCGUGAGUGAAGAAGGGUUUCGGCUCGUAAAGCUCUGUUGGUAGUGAAGAAAGAUAGAGGUAGUAACUGGCCUUUAUUUGACGGUAAUUACUUAGAAAGUCACGGCUAACUACGUGCCAGCAGCCGCGGUAAUACGUAGGUGGCAAGCGUUGUCCGGAUUUAUUGGGCGUAAAGCGAGUGCAGGCGGUCCAAUAAGUCUGAUGUGAAAGCCUUGGGCUCAACCGGAGAAUUGCAUCAGAAACUGUUGAACUAGAGUGCAGAAGAGGAGAGUGGAACUCCAUGUGUAGCGGUGGAAUGCGUAGAUAUAUGGAAGAACACCAGUGGCGAAGGCGGCUCUCUGGUCUGCAACUGACGCUGAGGCUCGAAAGCAUGGGUAGCGAACAGGAUUAGAUACCCCAGUAGUC